CUAGCGUUGCUCGGAAUUACUGGGCGUAAAGGGAGCGUAGGCGGACAUUUAAGUCAGAGGUGAAAUCCCGGAGCUUAACUUCGGAACUGCCUUUGAUACUGGGUGUCUUGAGUGUGAGAGAGGUAUGUGGAACUCCGAGUGUAGAGGUGAAAUUCGUAGAUAUUCGGAAGAACACCAGUGGCGAAGGCGACAUACUGGCUCAUUACUGACGCUGAGGCUCGAAAGCGUGGGGAGCAAACAGGAUUAGAUACCCUGGUAGUCAAGGUCG
rnacentral:rRNA from 1 species